rnacentral:rRNA from 1 species
AUCUACAGCCAUGCCACCCUGAACAUGCCCAAUCUUGUCUUAUCUUGGAAACUAAGCAGGCUCAGGCCUGGUUAGAACUUGGAUAGGAGACCACCUACGAAGACCAGGUGCUGUAGGUG